rnacentral:tRNA from 1 species
AUUUAUAUAAUAUAAAAAAAUAUAUUUGACUUCCAAUCAAAAGAUCUACCACCCAAUGUAGUAUAAAUA